AUUGAACGCUGGCGGCAGGCCUAACACAUGCAAGUCGAACGAGUGGCGGACGGGUGAGUAAUGUCUGGGAAACUGCCCGAUGGAGGGGGAUAACUACUGGAAACGGUAGCUAAUACCGCAUACCAUCAGAUGUGCCCAGAUGGGAUUAGCUUGUAGGUGGGGUAACGGCUCACCUAGGCGACGAUCCCUAGCUGGUCUGAGAGGAUGACCAGGCAGACGGGAACUGAGAGACGGUCCAGACUCCUAAGUGAGGCAGCAGUGGGGAAGAUUGCACAAUGGGCGCAAGCCUGAUGAAGCCAUGCCGCGUGUAUGAAGAAGGCCUUAGGGUUGUAAAGUACUUUCAGCGGGGAGGCGUUACCCGCAGAAGAAGCACCGGCUAACUCCGUGCCAGCCGCCGCGGUAAUAC
rnacentral:rRNA from 1 species